rnacentral:rRNA from 1 species
UACAGAGGUCCCGAGCGUUUGUUCGGAUUCAUUGGGCGUAAAGGGUGCGUAGGCGGCGGGGCAAGUCUGAUGUGAAAUCCCCGGGGCUCAACCCCGGAACUGCAUUGGAUACUGCCUUGCUCGAGUACUGGAGAGGGAACUGGAAUUUACGGUGUAGCAGUGAAAUGCGCAGAUAUCGGGAGGAACACCAGAGCGAAAGGCGGCACUCUGGGCCGGUACUGACGCUGAGGCGGCGAAAGCGUGGGGAGCAAACGGG